GUCGACGGGAGAAUGCUAGCUUGCUAAUAAUUCUCUAGUGGCGCACGGGUGAGUAACACGUGAGUAACCUGCCCCCAAGAGUGGGAUAGCCCCGGGAAACUGGGAUUAAUACCGCAUAAAAUCGCAAGAUUAAAGCAGCAAUGCGCUUGGGGAUGGGCUCGCGUCCUAUUAGUUAGUUGGUGAGGUAACGGCUCACCAAGGCGAUGACGGGUAGCCGGUCUGAGAGGAUGUCCGGCCACACUGGAACUGAGACACGGUCCAGACACCUACGGGUGGCAGCAGUCGAGAAUCAUUCACAAUGGGGGAAACCCUGAUGGUGCGACGCCGCGUGGGGGAAUGAAGGUCUUCGGAUUGUAAACCCCUGUCAUGUGGGAGCAAAUUAAAAAGAUAGUACCACAAGAGGAGGAGACGGCUAACUCUGUGCCAGCAGCCGCGGUAAUACAGAGGUCUCAAGCGUUGUUCGGAAUCACUGGGCGUAAAGCGUGCGUAGGCGGUUUCGUAAGUCGUGUGUGAAAGGCGGGGGCUCAACCCCCGGACUGCACAUGAUACUGCGAGACUAGAGUAAUGGAGGGGGAACCGGAAUUCUCGGUGUAGCAGUGAAAUGCGUAGAUAUCGAGAGGAACACUCGUGGCGAAGGCGGGUUCCUGGACAUUAACUGA
rnacentral:rRNA from 1 species